UACGUAGGGGGGCAAGCGUUGUCCGGAUUUAUUGGGCGUAAAGAGCGUGUAGGCGGCCAUGCAGGUCAGCUGUGAAAACUCGAGGCUCAACCUCGAGACGUCGGUUGAAACCGUAUGGCUAGAGUCCGGAAGAGGAGAGUGGAAUUCCCGGGUGUAGCGGUGAAAUGCGCAGAUAUCGGGAAGAACACCUAUGGCGAAGGCAGCUCUCUGGGACGGUACUGACGCUGAGACGCGAAAGCGUGGGGAGCGAACAGG
rnacentral:rRNA from 1 species